rnacentral:rRNA from 1 species
UGGGGAAUAUUGCACAAUGGGGGAAACCCUGAUGCAGCGACGCCGCGUGAGCGAUGAGGUAUUUCGGUAUGUAAAGCUCUAUCAGCAGGGAAGAAAAUGACGGUACCUGACUAAGAAGCCCCGGCUAACUACGUGCC